UGCCAGACUCCUACGGGAGGCAGCAGUGAGGAAUAUUGGUCAAUGGGCGAGAGCCUGAACCAGCCAAGUCGCGUGAGGGAGUACUGCCCUAUGGGUUGUAAACCUCUUUUGUCGGGGAGCAAAAGCCGGACGUGUCCGGCUGUGAGAGUACCCGAAGAAAAAGCAUCGGCUAACUCCGUGCCAGCAGCCGCGGUAAUACGGAGGAUCCGAGCGUUAUCCGGAUUUAUUGGGUUUAAAGGGAGCGUAGGUGGAUUGUUAAGUCAGUUGUGAAAGUUUGCGGCUCAACCGUAAAAUUGCAGUUGAAACUGGCAGUCUUGAGUACAGUAGAGGUGGGCGGAAUUCGUGGUGUAGCGGUGAAAUGCUUAGAUAUCACGAAGAACUCCGAUUGCGAAGGCAGCUCACUGGACUGCAACUGACACUGAUGCUCGAAAGUGUGGGUAUCAAACAGGAUUAGAUACCCGGGUAAAG
rnacentral:rRNA from 1 species